UUUUCAUAUAUUAUCACAGUGUGGCUACUAAAAAUUCUGUGAAUAAUUUAACCUCACUUUUAUUUUUAUUUUUUUUAUCUUUCAGAAAUGAAUUCCUUUAUUGCAAGAAAUUGUGAUUAUUUAUUGAUUCAGAAAGAAAACAGACUGAAGUUCUCUUGGGUCUUCUGAAUAACAUAUAAAAUGAAUUGGCCAGCAGAGACCAAAAAUACCCUGCAAGUACAGAUGUGCACUUCUUAUUUCAGGUGUUUUAUGCUGUUCAUCACUAGAAGUAAUCCUUUUAACAAGAAACUCUUUCCUAGACCUAGAAGAUCAGAUGUGAUUCAGUAAGGUGAGUAUUGAUUAAAUAAUGUACCCAUCCACCUGGGAAUGAAGUUCAGAGAGUUUGUAGGAAAAAUUAGCCUAAAUUAUCACUGAAUAAAAAAUAAAUAUUAUUUAUUAAUACA
rnacentral:lncRNA from 1 species